rnacentral:misc_RNA from 1 species
CAAUCCUGCAUCCAGGAGUGAGCUGUAAAAAGACAGUACCCCUAUUAUAAGAGGAGCUUCUGAGCCUUGUGGUAUAAUAUUCAACCAAGUAAAAGCUAAGAUCAUGACUUAAAAUAGGCUAUACCAAAAAACGUAAAAAAUUACUAGAACCUUUUCUCAUCACUUAUAUCAGUCUUACAUUCUGAUGCAAAAGCUGCUGGUUUGCAGUAGCACUGUGUAUUGACACAUUUAGAAUUCAACUACCGUCUUCAGAUACAGAUUUUUUUUUCUCUGGAUCAGAUUUGACUGACUGUUCCCAAAUAAAGCACU